rnacentral:rRNA from 1 species
GACGAACGCUGGCGGCGUGCUUAACACAUGCAAGUCGAACGGAAAGGCCCUGCUUUUGUGGGGUGCUCGAGUGGCGAACGGGUGAGUAACACGUGAGUAACCUGCCCUUGACUUUGGGAUAACUUCAGGAAACUGGGGCUAAUACCGGAUAGGAGCUCCUGCUGCAUGGUGGGGGUUGGAAAGUUUCGGCGGUUGGGGAUGGACUCGCGGCUUAUCAGCUUGUUGGUGGGGUAGUGGCUUACCAAGGCUUUGACGGGUAGCCGGCCUGAGAGGGUGACCGGCCACAUUGGGACUGAGGUACGGACCAGACUCCUACGGGAGGCAGCAGUGGGGAAUAUUGCACAAUGGGCGGAAGCCUGAUGCAGAGACGCCGCGUGCGGGAUGACGGCCUUCGGGUUGUAAACCGCUUUCGCCUGUGACGAAGCGUGAGUGACGGUAAUGGGUAAAGAAGCACCGGCUAACUACGUG